AUCACAGUCUAGUGAGGUUGACAGGCAUGC
rnacentral:piRNA from 1 species